CAGAGUUGCAAAACUCCCACACCCUUUGUGAACGCACUGAAAUUACUGCCUCGGCGGGCAGCCCUUCAGAGGGUAGCCCGCCGGAGAAGCACUAAACUCCUGUAUUUUUGGCUUCUCUGAGUGAUUAUACAAUGGAUCA
rnacentral:misc_RNA from 1 species